CGCAAGUGACGGGUUCGAUGAGAACGAUGACCGGGUUUGUUUUCUAAUCAACGUAAUUGCAAACAUAAUUUGGAGUAAAGUUGCCAACAUGAGGUGGGAUUUUCAACAAUCUUCAUCAUUCUAUUUGUACACGAUAUUUAACAGCUGUUACUAAGAUAAGUCAUUCUCUUUGCGCCGAAUAUAAAGAUGUAAAUUCUAGUGGCUGCCAUUGUCUCACAAAUCUAAUCUCUCCCCUACUUUUAACUCUACUUAGUACUGAACAGCAUUAUAGGGAAGUGGCAGCUAAGUCAAUGAAAGAAAAUUACUAUUAUGUUAUAACCAUCUCCGAUUUUGAAAUAGUAUUGUGUACUGGUGGUAGGUCCUCUUGUGAGUCCACACGGGUAGGUACCACCACCUUGCCUAUUUCUGCCGUGAAGCAGUAAUGCGUUUCGGUUUGAAGGGUGGGGCAGCCGUUGUAACUAUACUGAACCUUAGAACUUAUAUCUCAAGGUGGGUGGCGCAUUGACGUUGUAGAUGUCUAUGGGCUCCAGUAACUACUUAACACCAGGUGGGCUGUGAGCUCGUCCACUCAUCUAAGCAAUAAACAAAAAACUUCUGUGUUUAAAAUCGAUUCCGAACCUAUGUGCUUAGUGCGAUUUUUUUACUACUCGAUCACGUAAAAGUUAACCUAACUAAAUUAGUAUGGAGUUGGAACAGCGCCCCUGGCGGCAAACGUAGGAAUGCUGUCCAACUCCAUAAAAAUUUGACGUAACUUUUAAGCGAUCAAGACGCUAAAAAACUCACACUAAACACACUGAAAGCGUUAUUAGUUUAAAAAAAAAACAAUAAUCAGUUUUAGAACGCCUCGAUCUACGGUAGCUUACGUCGUGGAAUUAAAAAAAAAUCUAACACACGACACGAACAUAAUCUGCCAAAAUCUUUUAGACUGUAACUCGUUACAACAAAGCGAAUUGACACAAAUAUAUUUUGAGCGUGACAACAAAAGCAUUUAAUUCAAUUAAGUUUCACUUAACUAUUUUUAUUUGGCUAUCCAUUAGACUGGUUAAUUCAGUGGACGUGAUCAUAUGAAAUUUUCGUUGUUAUCCGAAACAAUAAGGUUAACAACUGCGGGAGCUCUAGUCGACUAUGGUCUACCGAAGGGAGCUCCGGAGGUGACCCACUGAUUUAUGGGGGACACAAUGAUAGAGCUGUCAAAAAGAUUAGAAAAUUUGUGUUUUAUUGCAGACCGUCUAGGUUUCAAAGACUUUUAAUAAAGACUUAUUCUGUUCAGAAUCUAGAUUAUUAAUUAUUUUUCUUUAUGAUUGUUAAGAGUAUUUGAUACCACCAGUUUUUGUGUUUUUUUUUUAUAUUUCAAUAUUCAAUAUUUUACUGGUGGUAGGACCUGUUGUGAGUCCGCGCGGGUAGGUACCACCGCCCUGCCUAUUUCUGCCGUGAAGCAGUAAUGCGUUUCGGUUUGAAGGGUGGGGUAGCCGUUGUAACUAUACUGAGACCUUACAACUUAUAUCUCAAGGUGGAUGGCGCAUUUACGUUGUAGAUGUCUAUGGGCUCCAGUAACCACUUAACACCAGGUAGGCUGUGAGCUCGUCCACCCAUCUAAGCAAUAAAAAAAAUUCAAAAAUAUUUUAAUAUUUCUAAUGUUUCUUCUUCUAAUGUUUCAAUAUCAAAAUACCAUUUAUGUCACCUGUGUGACACCUGUAUGUCACCUGUGUGACAUAAAUGGUAACAUAUUAUAACCUCCUUUAAAAUUUAUGUCAUAAAUCAUAUAGAGGUUACAUUCUUUUUUAGAAAAGAUAUUCUAAUGAUAUUCUUUCAACAAUUCGUAUUUUUUUUUCACGAUUGAUAUAUUUAAACCUUUCAAUAUGUCUAUCUAAAAUUCUUUGAUUGUGCGUAUGUAUAUUGUUGCCAAUGUCAUCUAAUAUAAGUAUACGAAGAAAAAAUUUAAGCUUAGCAACAACGCAAUUCGAAAGAAAAACUUUCUAAAGGGCGUCUCGAGGUUAAGAGUAACAAACAGAAAGAUCUCCCUUCGUCCGUCGCCCUCGGGAGGGUCUCGACUGGGGAGAGCCGACCUUCCUCAACGACCUUGGAGGGGUAAGGUCAAUUCAUACAGACGGAGUGAGUGACGUCAGUGUCUGAUCUUACAGGUCCACUAUUCACAAAUUCUUUUGCUUUUACUACAAUGAACACAACACUUCAAAGGGAAUUUUUCUAUCAAAUUUUUUGCAAAAGAAUUGGAAAAAUAGCUAGCGUAAAUUUAGCACUUAAUAAUAAACAACAUUAUGAAUUUUUGACGGAAACUCGAGGUACGAAGCUGUGUGAAUUAUUUUAUCUAUAUAUUAAUACGUGAAGCAAAAACUUUGUAGAUAUCCCUUUUUACGAAAAUUGCGCGGACGGAGGAGUAUAAAAUUUUCCACACUUAUAGAGAAUAUAGAGAAGAAGUGCACAAUGCUAAUAUUUUUUGAAGAUAAUGCAUAAAAGAUACAUUAAAUCAAUAAAGAAAACAUUACACACACUACUAUGUAUUUGACGCACACGCAUUCAUACUAUUUAUUUAUUGUCAAACUUUUGUUCUUGACGUCUGUGGUCAAAUUGAGAAUAGAUUAAAUAUUGUUUGUCUUUAUUAAUAUUUUUUUAUAGUGUAGUCUUGGCGAAAUUUGUGAUUAUAGAAGUAUAAUAAUAGUCUUUGAAAAUAGAAUCUUAAUAGUGUACAAACUUAUAAUUUCAAUUAAUUAUAGUCGAAUUUCGACUACUGCGGGACCACUAGUUUUGUUUAGUGUUGCUUCCGGUUCAAACGUGUAAUAACGAUGGUUUAUUAACUGCUUAGCAUCCAUAAAAGUGUUCAAAUGUGCGAAAACUAAACAAAAUCGCUGAACGUGAGUACUCGGAUUCGUCUGGCAACAAUGGUACCGUAAGAGUCCAAUUGCCAUUCUUAAAAAAAUAAGAAGAAAUGAACAUUAAAGUAACUACCUACACAUAAUUACAUUUUUGUAUAAUUUUUUUUCAUGAAAGUUGUGCUUAGACAUAGUUAGACAAGUCCUGAUGAAUCAAAUAAGCUAAAAUACGUGAGAUCCCGGAUCCUAUAGACAUCACCACACAAAAAUCAAUUUUAUAAGAAAUCAUUCACUAGAUGUGGUCAGCGGUUGCAUCAUGUUACCUACUGUAAUAUAGCGUAAUGCAUUCGGUCAAAUUUAAUUUAUAAAUAUCAAUCUAAGCAAGAAUGAAAAAUAGCCUAGGUCCAUCGCAAGAAAUAUCAUUACGGAAUUGUUUUGUUACCUUUAGGUAUUCUUCACAGGCGAGAAUUUUAUAUUUACAAAACUUUUUCUGUCAUUAAUCUUACCUUAGUUCGUCAAUGACCACGAAAAUUUGAAAGUAUUCGAAACAUUGGCAAUCAUGUAAUGAUAAUUAAAAAAACACGAAAUUAAACCAUAAAAAUUGUUUUAUAAAUAUGUCUACGUCUUUUAAUAAAUUAUGUAUAUAAUAUCUAAUUUCACGUUUGCUUCCUAGCAGCAGUACAGCACGUGCCUUCGAAAGAAGCGGUCACAGGUAAGAAAGUACAUGGCACUGUUUUUACAGGCGAACACACGGUCUGUCAGACGGUAAAUAUUCUCAUUCGCUCAUGACCUGGAACUUUUUUUGGGAAUGAAGUACUGUAGUUGACUCGGAGACAUUGCCGCCUCGGAUUAUCUUCGCUUGAAGUCCGUAACGUUUGAAGAAUGCAAUGCAGCACCUCAGACGCCGUGAGCCACUACGGGUCCCGUCUCCACCGAUUCCAGCUUCGACCCAGAACUCAGAUCUCAAGUUUGGAUAGAUUUUAUUACAUAAUAUAUUAUACUUACUUAUUACUGGUGGGAGGGCCUGUUGACCUGUCCACACGGGUAGAUACCACCGCCCUGCCUAUUUCUGCCGUGAAGAAAUGCGUUUCUGUUGGAAGGGCGGGGCAGCCGUUGUAGCUAUACGGAGCUAUCUUAUAUCGUAAGGUGGGUGGUGCAUUUACGUUCUAAAUGUCUAUGGGCUCCAGUAACCAUUUAACACCAUGCGGGCUGUGAGCUCGUCUGUCCAUCUAAUUAAUAAAUAAAAAUAAAAAAAAACUCCGGGAACAACUUUUUAUAGAUGAACAAGCUCACGGCCGGUCAAUACCAUUGUGCUUAGUGUGAGUUUUUUUAACGUUCUCGAUAACGUAAAAGUUAACACAAAUUUGUAUAGCGUUGGAACGCUUGCCUACGUUUGCCGCUAGGGGCGCUGUUCCAACUGCAUACACAUUUGAGUUAGCUUUUACGCUAUCCAGAACGUUAAAAAACUCGCACUAAGCACACGAAUGUGUGGACACCCAUAGACACAGCCCACUGAGUUUCUCGCCGAAUCUUCUCAGUGGGUCACUUUUCCGAUCCGAUGGUAGAUUCUUCGAAGCACUGCUCUUGCUAGGGCCAGUGCUAGCAACACUCCGGUUUGAGUCCCGCGAGCUUACCUACACGUCAAGGCGAAGCUGAAAUAACCUCUCAAGGCUAUCAGCAUUGGUAGAAAAAAAAAGUGGAGCCAACAUGGCAGUAGCGGAACAACGUGGACUAUUUACUGGAAACCUUAUGCAUCACCACGAGCAAGCAGUCACUCGCUUUAAGACAUGAGGUCAUAUUGAGUCAGUCGAAGUCUCAAAUGCAGUAUAACAUCAGAUCCACCCAUAUAUGGCUUAAUAACCCUCUAACCUUUCAAAUAUGGCGAUGUUUUCAAGGUCAGAGGUUCAGCUUCGUCAUUUUGCUAUUGGGAUAUCCCCAGUAGCAAAUAUUGAUAUCCUCAAUGUAGUAAUGUUGACAUUCACAACAGUUCUGAUAUAAAUGUACACCUAAAUAAACAAUUGAAUAUAUUAUAUCGAGUCAAAGAACAAACUCAAAUCAAUUAAUGCAAUGUAUACACAUACCUACACAAAAUUAUUACUGAGAAUUAUUCAUAUUUUAUAAUUAGUCCGAUAUGUUUUAGGCGACGACACGUCGUUUGCAAUCACGAGAACUGUGACUAUUCAAGAUUUCAGAAGAAUUCAAUUCUAUUCAUACAUCUGACGUCACAUUUCAAGUGACAUUCAGCCAAUAAUAUUUGUUAUUAUUUAUUAUAAUACAUAUUACAUUUAAUUAAACGUUCGUUUAAUAAACUUAGUUUAUUGUAUAA